ACGGCCGUUGUCACAAGACAACCUGAGAAAAUAUUCACUAUGUGGAAAAUUAUUACAACCACUCUCAGAAAUAAUUUUCUCUCACCCAAGCCCCAAAUACAUAAUCCUGAGAAAUACCCCUUAACAAAGCAAACCGUAAUACCCAUAUUGAGGAGCCAAAUGCUCCUUCAAUAUAAUUACAUGCUUAAGAAUAUUUCUCUCCCAUAUUGGAAGUUCUCAAUGCUUCACUUGCAUUCACCAAUUGAAUGCUCUCAAUUGGAUUGCUUCUCUUGGAUUUUUGGGAUGCCAAGCUCUCAAAUGAGAGCUUCCUUUUACAGGCAAGAUUUUGCCUAAAAUCAAGCCCACCAAUAUUGAUCAAAAUUGGUGGCUUAGCCAUCAAAUUUGAUCAACAAAUUUGGUGGAUAAGCCACUAAAUUUGAAGCCACCUUUCUUUCUUUUUUUUAAAUCAAUUUUCAACAAUCUCCACCUUGAUUAAAAAAAAAACAUAACUACUGCUAUAAAAUAGUGUCUUCACCAACAGUCAUAAUUCUCACAUAAUGAAUUAUCAUACUCCACCAUAAAGAGUAUACCACUUAUUCUAAAAUUUUCUCGGGCAUAUGUCAAAAUAUCCUGCUGAAAUUUAUGGUGUAAUUCUCAUGCUUGGUUUCCCUGAGAAUUCUUCAACCAUGACAUAACUUUUCCACCACCACCUUGCAUUUAUACCAAGUCAAUGCCCAUGUACAAACUUGUGGACCCCGCUAAUCAUAAUAUUUUCUAUUUCAUGCAACUUGGAGAUCUACAUGCCAAAGAACUAACCCAGUCUCCUAUCAAAAGGAAACUCACCAUCUGCGAGAAUAUCAAUAUCUCAUUUACAUAUUCUUGAGUAAUUUGCUGAGCCCACUCCACCUUCUUGACAAUUUUCUUGAGGUGCUAAAAUUGUCCACACUUUCAAAUCUUUGUGCAUACCAGAUUGGAUACACCUUUGACUUGAAUUCUCUACAAGCCAAUAAAAUCAUUCUCCUAUUAAUUUUUCAACAACAUCAAACUCUAACCAAGUUUGAAAAAUACCAGCUGCUGACAUAUUUAUUUUACAUAAACAGUACCGUACACCCCAAGUACAAAACGUUGGCUCUGAUACCACUGUUAGGAAAUUGAGCUUCCUCCCAAGAUCACUCCAAGCAAUUUAUCAAACAACAAAUUAAUAAAAAAAUUAAAUGGAGAAUACACCAAUCACACAACACAAGAUUUACGUGCAAAACUCCAAAUCCGGAGAAAAAUCAUAGCCGAUGUCACAAAACAACCAGAGAAAAAAUAUUCACUAUGUGGAAAAUUAUUACAACCACUCUCAGAAAUAAUUUUCUCUCACCCAAGCCCCAAAUACAUAAUCCUNUAUCAAAAGGAAACUCACCAUCUGCGAGAAUAUCAAUAUCUCAUUUACAUAUUCUUGAGUAAUUUGCUGAGCCCACUCCACCUUCUUGACAAUUUUCUUGAGGUGCUAAAAUUGUCCACACCUUCAAAUCUUUGUGCAUACCAGAUUGGAUACACCUUUGACUUGAAUUCUCUACAAGCCAAUAAAAUCAUUCUCCUAUUAAUUUUUCAACAACAUCAAACUCUAACCAAGUUUGAAAAAUACCAGCUGCUGACAUAUUUAUUUUACAUAAACAGUACCGUACACCCCAAGUACAAAACGUUGGCUCUGAUACCACUGUUAGGAAAUUGAGCUUCCUCCCAAGAUCACUCCAAGCAAUUUAUCAAACAACAAAUUAAUAAAAAAAAUUAAAUGGAGAAUACACCAAUCACACAACACAAGAUUUACGUGCAAAACUCCAAAUCCGGAGAAAAAUCAUAGCCGAUGUCACAAAACAACCAGAGAAAAAUAUUCACUAUGUGGAAAAUUAUUACAACCACUCUCAGAAAUAAUUUUCUCUCACCCAAGCCCCAAAUACAUAAUCCUAAUAAAUACCCCUUAACAAAGCAAACCCGUAAUACCCAUAUUGAGGAGCCAAAUGCUCCUUCAAUAUAAUUACAUGCUUAAGAAUAUUUCUCUCCCAUGUUGGAAGCUCUCAAUGCUUCACUUGCAUUCACCAAUUGAAUGCUCUCAAUUGGAUUGCUUCUCUUGGAUUUUUGGGAUGCCAAGCUCUCAAAUGAGAGCUUCCUUUUAUAGGCAAGAUUUUGCCUAAAAUCAAGCCCACCAAUAUUGAUCAAAAUUGGUGGCUUAGCCAUCAAAUUUGAUCAACAAAUUUGGUCAACAAAUUUGGUGGUUAAGCCACCAAAUUUGAAGCCGCCUUUCUUUCUUUUUUUUUAAAUCAAUUUUCAACACAAACAAGCUCUCAAACUUUAACCAUUUAUAAGCAAAAGCGUGAACGAGAGAAGAAGGGAUCAAUUUGGAAUAAGAGGGUUUGUUGGAUAGAAAUAAAUAUUUCUAAUUUUAGUGAUGGGUAUAUAAAGAAAAAGUGUUUAAAUUUUUUUUCUAAAAAAAAACAAUUCAAAUAACUCACCCUUCUGUAUAUAUAUUCAACUGCAGUCACAUACUUUUUAUGUAUUGAUAAAUUAAUUUUUGACUCUUUUGCAUAAUUAGUCGUUUGAGUUCAAAUCCUUAAGAAUUAAGAGGUUAAAAAUUUAAUUUAAGCUUAGCUCACCCACCAACCUUUUCUUUCUUUAUUAAAUUACGACUCUUACGAUCCACUCGCAUUUAUAAAAUUAUGAAUGAAAAAUAGAAUGCCUGUCAUUUCAUCCCCUUCCUAUUAUUUUUCUGACUUAUACGAUGUGCAAAUACAACGCGGCAUUUACAAAAAUUAAUUAGACGCAUAAAACACAAUCGUUGAGCAUUUACAAGAAAUCAAACUUGAUAAAAACACAAUCUGAACAAUAAUACAGUGAUCUCUUCGGUGAUUCUACAGCUGUGGAAUCCGUUGAAUAAAUUUAUUGAAUAUUGUUGUCUGGGGUGAUUCUACAGCUGUGAAAUCCGUUGAACAAAUUUAUUGAGUAUUGUGGAAGUCAUAUCCCUCAAAUAAUUUAUUGACAAGCUGCACAUGCAUGAUGGGUUUGCUGUAAUUUUUUUUUUUUUUAUAUAAAAGGGAGCCAAGGCUAAACCGAAACAGAACGCGGGAAAGUAUUCCCUUACAUGUCCUGAAUUAAACAAUAAGAGAUUUUAAGUUUUUUUUUUAGCUUAUUUUAUCCUUCGACUCUAUUAACCUAACAAAAUUGACUCUAAUAUUUUUUAAUAAAUUAAAUAAAAUGUAAAAAUAAAUAUGAUAAUAUAUACAUUUUAAAAUAAUUUCAGUAUUUAUAAAAAUUUAUUUGACAUAGUUAUUGAUAUUAAAAUAAAUAAAACAUAAUAUUAAAAUAAAUAUAUAACAGUUUAAAUUGUUUUGAGUACUAUAUAAAACAAUUUUAAUAUUCUCAAUAUGUCAUAUAUGUUUUAUUAAUUGUAACACAAUUCUUCUUGGAGGAGGGCUGUUUGCCCGGGUGAUCGAUCCUGCCAUAUUAUGAAAAAAAAAAGAGGCAUUAAUGGCUUUUAUUGGAACUUGAGGUUUGCAUGACAUUUUUUUAAAUGUAAAGGUAUAUAUAUUCUAUUCCUUAAAUUUUGUAAAUGGUGAGCUAUAUAACAAUAUUUUCAAAAUAAAUUAAGUGCAGCAUGGCUGUGAAGGUAUAUAUAUUCUAUUCAUUAUUUUAUUUGGUUAUGGCAAAACAACUGGUCAUGCAUUUGACGAAAAAGACAAAAAAGGAGAAAAAAGACAGCUGCGGAGUUCCCAGCUGGCCAACUCCCUAGUUUAGUUGUUUCAUACGAGGGAUUGACUCCAUUUUAAUAGAAUGAGAAUCAAAUUAAAAGAUACAAAAAUUAAGAAAUUAUAUAUACUGUAAGAUAAAAUAUAUUGUAUUAGAUUAUGUCUUUUUUUUUUAUAUUUUAAUUUCAUCUUUAUAUUAUAUAUAUAUAUAUAUAAGAGAAAUUAUAAACAAGUGCGUAAAUCAAAUGACAUGAGGUUGUGAUUCCUUAAUUAAGGUUCUCGGUUCGAAACUUGAAAAUGCAACUGCAUUAAAUAUAUGUUGCUAAGCACUCAUAGCAGAUCCCGUCAUAAUGGUAUCCAACGCAUUUAAUAAAACUCACUUUUCUACCAAAUAACAGAGUGACGGCAAAGCACCUCACAUAAGUUUCUCUAUAUAAUAUAGAGGUUUAGUGUAAACUGAGCACCACAUCAUCCACUGCUAUUUUGCGUCUCCACAUCCUAAUCCACGAAGAUGGGUUCAUUCCAAGACCAAGUCAUGAAACUAUCAAACGAUGAGCAAGAUUUCUUGUUGGCCAUGGAACUCAGUACUGGCUCAAUACUUCCGAUGACCAUGAAAGCUGCCAUUGAGCUUGGUGUGCUGGAGAUCUUGGCGAAAGCUAGCCCAUCUCAGCUCUCUUCUUCUGAGAUUGCCUCUCAGCUGCCCACAAAUAACAAAGAAGCCCCAGUUGUACUACUUGACAGAAUAUUACGCCUCCUUGCCAGUCACUCUUUACUCACUUGUAAUCUUGUCACAAAUACAGAUGGAAGUGUGCAAAGGCUUUAUGGUUUAGCAUCGAUUUGCAGAUAUUUUGUUCAAAAUGAAGAUGGAGUUUCACUUGCUCCCUAUUUGCUGUUAUCUUUGGACAAAGUUGCCAUGGAACCUUGGUUUGUUUUCUUAUUUUUUUAUUAUAUCUUUCAUGGAAAAGAAUAGUGAUACUCCUCUGAUUUGAUUAAAUGAUCACGAAAACUCUCUUAUUUUUUAGAAAUGGUCACAUAAGUUCUUUUUUUGUUUUUAAUAUUCAUGUCCACAUAAAAUAUAGUUGGAUCACUAUAGUCAAAGGGUAUAGUCAUCCUAAAAAGUGUUUAUAUGAUCAUUUUUGUGAAACUAUUAGGAUAUAUAUUGCUAUCGUUUCCACUAUAUUUCACACAAUAUAUAUAUAUAUAUAUAUGAAAUAGUGUAUGGAGAACAUUAAUUUUCAUUAUAUUUCUACUUUUUAAGACAUAAAAAAUUAAAUUCUUUAUAUCUUCCAACAGGUACCACUUGAAAGAUGCUGCAUUGGAAGGGACCUUGCCAGCUAUGAAGGCCUGUAAAGGAAUAUUGCAUGCAUUUGAGCAUAUUGCGAAAAGAUGCUAGAAUACAUAACCUCUUUAAUCAAACAAUGCACAAUCACACAACUAUUGUCAUGAAGAAAAUUAUUGAAAUCUACAAGGGAUUUGAAGGGCUAAACCAAUUGCUGGAUGUUGCCGGUGGUUUGGGCGCAACUCUUCGCUUAAUUGUUGAAAAAUAUCCACAAAUUAAGGGUAUUAACUUUGACUUACCUCAUGUCGUUAAAGAUGCACCCUUUGUCCAGGUAAACAUAAUAUAUAUCCCAUACAUUAGUAACUUAUUUUUAAUCUUGAUUCUUUUGAUUUAGUUCCCGUGGAUUAGUUGUUAGUUACCAAAUUAAAAUAAUUAAUAUCCUUUACCUUUUCCUUUUCCUUUUCCUUUUUGUCCGUUUCUUUAAGGUGUGGAGCAUGGUGGAGGAGAUAUGUUUGUUGAAGUUCCUAAAGCACAAACUAUUUUCAUGAAGGUUAAUUCUCCAAUUAAUUAUUUGAUCCAGCCUCAUACUAAUACAAAGAUUCAAAAUAUUUAAGUCGCAAUUGAUGUGGUAGAAUUACGUCAAGUUAUUUGUAAAUAUUUAACUUGCAAGUUGUGUAAUUAUAAAUAAGUGGUCACAUUAGUUAAGACUUAAAUGUUAGAAUUUUGACAUUAUUAUUAAUUAUAAAAUUAACUAUGUCUAUCUCAAAGUACCAAAAGUUUUUGGAUCUUCCAAAACUAAUAAGAAAUGUUGAUUUAAAACUUUCAGUGGAUACUUCAUGACUGGGGUGAUGAUCUAUGUUUGAAAAUAUUGAAGAACUGCUACGAUGCACUCCCAGAAUCUGGAAAAAUCAUAGUGGUAGAAUCUAUAAUGACAGAAUUUCCUGAAACUGAUAUUAUAAGCAAGAAUAUUUCAAGGCUUCACAUAACUGUCUCCAAUCUAUUUCCUGGAGCAAAGGAAAGAACGUUGGAGGAGUUCAAGUCCUUGGCUACAAAGCAGGAUUUCCAGCUAUCAAAGUUAUUUGUCGUGCUUACUGCUAUUGGGUUAUUGAAUUCUGCAAAAUGAUCUAAUUAAAACAUUACAGGUGCUUGGCAUUUUAAGUUUCGCAUUUUAAAAAUAACUAAAUAAAUGAGAUGGUGACUCUUGUAAGCCCUUAUUGUGUGUGCAUCCUCAUGUAUUUCUUGUCAUGUUUUUAGGUUCCUUGUAAUGCUUGAAAGUAAAAAUAGAUUAUUACAAAUUGAGUGUCUCUUGUUUCUAUCUCAGAAAUUUGAUUCUAUGUUGAGAUAUACUAAGAUAUUUAUUUUGUUCGAGCCUAAGCAAAAUAACGUGCUAUUGUAUGCUUCAUUAUUUCCCACAAUGGAGCUCGAUAAAAUGUCCAGCUAAUUUAAUUACUAUUAAAUGGAAGAAUUGACCAGCAAACUUGUGCUGAUUUAGAUUGUUACCAAAUUACUCUAUACAUGAAAGAAAAAUUAGCUAAUAAUGAUAUAGAUUAUUGUUUAGUUUAAAGACUUAGAAUAGCGGUAGCAUCCCAAAAUUAUAUUCUAAGUUUUUUCCUAAAUAAAUGAACAAACACCUCCUCAAAAUACUACAAAGCCAAAAAUUUCAGUACCUCAAGAAUUUAUAAAAUAAUACCUACAGAAGUUCCAAUCACUAGCAUUGAUUACUUACUCGCAAUUCAAUCCUGGCGGUGUGUUUCUUCUCGUUCUCAGUUGCUUGUAAGACGUGGCAGCCCUUAUAUUGUGGACAUGUAAAAAGCGUUAUAAUUAGUUUAUUGAGUGUUUGCUGAUUGUUUUCCUUUUCUUCCAUUUUUUAACUAUUUAAUAAGCUAUAGGCAUUUCCUAGAAGAUAAACCAACAAUCAAAACACUAUCUGUACGAAUUCCUUAGUUAAUGCUCCACAGUCGCUGACAACCAAACUGACUCCAAAAAUAUUUUGAGAGGUUUAGGUGCUGAUAGUUGUAUGGUGACUUGCUCUUAUGGCGAAAGAUAGUUUGCUCAUUCAUGUGAUUGAAAGUGAUAAUGUUAGGAAUUCUAAUUUUUGGAUUUUAACUUGUAUUUUAACUAUAUUUUUAAUUCAUUUAGUUAAUACUCCAUAUAUAGUUGUAGGCAACCAACUUGACUCCAAAAAUAUUUUAAAAUAUUAGGUGUUAUAUGAUUCUUUGCGUUAUGGUGAAAGAUAGUUUAAUGGGUUGUUUGCUCAUUUAUCUGAUUCAAAAUAAUAUUACUAGAAAUUUUAAUAUUUGGAUUCCAACUUCUAUCUCAACUAUAUAUACACACAAACAUAUAUAGCAGGUGAACUAGUUUCUUUAAGGCACAAAUUUCAUAUUUUAUAAAUAUAUGUAAUUAAUCAAUUCAUUAGCUUUUAUAUUUUAUAAAUAUAUAUAAUAAAUCAAUUCAUUAGCUUUUCUUUUUGAAAAAAAAAAUAUCAAUUCAUUAUUUUUUUAAAGAAUUCUCAUGGCAUUGUACCAUUUUGAGAAAAUGCUUGCUUAUAUUUUUUUGGGGGUUCGAUUUACGGAUAUAUUUUUUUCUACAAUUUCAGUUUUUUAUUCAUUUAUGUUAAGAUAAAUAUGAUAUAAUUAAUCAUCAGUUCGUCCAGCCAGCUUAAUUAGCUAGCAAAGUUUGUUAUCUUUAAUUUAGUUAGUUAAGUUGAGUUUGUUAUCAAUAACGACGUGGAAGCUGACCUGGCUAGAGUUAGUUACAAGCCAUUUUAACAAUGGCCGCAUGCAUUUGAGUCUGUAGAAGAUUCGAGACUGCUGUAUAUAUACUCAUACAGCUAAACAAAUUCUGUUAAUGAAACAUAUGGAAAUGAUUCUCAACUCUGAAUUUUUCUCUCAUUUUCUCAUUGAUCAAACUGUUAGGAAAUUGAGCUUCCUCCCAAGAUCACUCCAAGCAAUUUAUCAAGCAACAAAUUAAUAAAAAUAAAUAAAUGGAGAAUACACCAAUCACACAACACAAGAUUUACGUGCAAAACUCCAAAUCCGGAGAAAAACCACGGCCGCUGUCACAAGACAACUAGAGAAAAAUAUUCACUAUGUGGAAAAUUAUCACAAUCACUCUCAGAAAUAAUUUUCUCUCACCCAAGCCCCAAAUACGUAAUCCUGAGAAAUACCCCUUAACAAAGCAAACUUGUAAUACCCAUAUUGAGGAGCCAAAUGCUCCUUCAAUAUAAUUACAUGCUUAAAAAUAUUUUUGUCCCAUGUUGGAAGCUCUCAAUGCUUCACUUGCAUUCACCAAUAGAAUGCUCUCAAUUGGAUUGCUUCUCUUGGAUUUUUGGGAUGCCAAGCUCUCAAAUGAGAGCUUCCUUUUAUAGGCAAGAUUUUGCCUAAAAUCAAGCCCACCAAUAUUGAUCAAAAUUGGUGGCUUAGCCAUCAAAUUUGAUCAAAGCCACCUUUCUUUCUUUCUUUUUUAAUCAAUUUUCAACAAUCUCCACCUUUAUUAAAAAAAAUCAUAACUACUAUUAUAAAACAUUGUCUUCACCAACAGUCAUAAUUCUCAACAUAAUGAAUUAUCAUACUCCACCAUAAAGAGUAUACCAUUUAUUCUAAGAUUUUUCUUGGCACAUGUCAAAAUAUCCUGCUGAAAUUUAUGGUGUAAUUCUCAUGUUUGGUUUCCCUGAGAAUUCUUUAGCCAUGACAUAACUUUUCCACCACACACCUUGCAUUUAUACCAAGUCAAUACCCGCGUGCAAACUUGUGGACCCCGCUGAUCAUAACAUGUUCUAUUUCAUGGCAACUUGGAGAUCUACAUGCCAAAAGAACUAACCCAGUCUCCUAUCAAAAAGGAACUCACCAUCUGCGAGAAUAUCAGUAUCUCCUUUACUUAUUCUGGAGUAAUUUGCUGAGCCCACUCCACCUUCUUGACAAUUUUCUUGAGGUGCCAAAAUUGUCCACACCUUCAAAUCUUUGUGCAUACCAGAUUGGAUACACCUUUGACUUAAAUUCUCUACAAGCCAAUAAAAUCAUUCUCCUAUUAAUUUUUCAACAACAUCAAAGUCUAACCAAGUUUGAAAAAUACCAGCUGCUGACAUAUUUGUUUUACAUAAACAAUACUGUACACCCCAAGUACAAAACGUUGGCUCUGAUACCACUGUUAGGAAAUUGAGCUUCCUCCCAAGAUCACUCUAAGCAAUUUAUCAAACAACAAAUUAAUAAAAAAAAUUAAAUGGAGAAUACACCAAUCACACAACACAAGAUUUACGAGGAAAACUCUAAAUCCGGAGAAAAAACACGGCCGUUGUCACAAGACAACCUGAGAAAAAUAUUCACUAUGUGGAAAAUUAUUACAACCACUCUCAGAAAUAAUUUUCUCUCACCCAAGCCCCAAAUACAUAAUCCUGAGAAAUACCCCUUAACAAAGCAAACCCGUAAUACCCAUAUUGAGGAGCCAAAUGCUCCUUCAAUAUAAUUACAUGCUUAAGAAUAUUUCUCUCCCAUAUUGGAAGUUCUCAAUGCUUCACUUGCAUUCACCAAUUGAAUGCUCUCAAU
rnacentral:lncRNA from 1 species